rnacentral:rRNA from 1 species
AGUGAACGCUGGCGGUAGGCCUAACACAUGCAAGUCGAACGGCAGCACAGUAAGAGCUUGCUCUUACGGGUGGCGAGUGGCGGACGAGUGAGGAAUACAUCGGAAUCUACUUUUUCGUGGGGGAUAACGUAGGGAAACUUACGCUAAUACCGCAUACGACCUACGGGUGAAAGCAGGGGAUCUUCGGACCUUGCGCGAUUGAAUGAGCCGAUGUCGGAUUAGCUAGUUGGCGGGGUAAAGGCCCACCAAGGCGACGAUCCGUAGCUGGUCUGAGAGGAUGAUCAGCCACACUGGAACUGAGACACGGUCCAGACUCCUACGGGAGGCAGCAGUGGGGAAUAUUGGACAAAGGGCGCAAGCCUGAUCCAGCCAUACCGCGUGGGUGAAGAAGGCCUUCGGGUUGUAAAGCCCUUUUGUUGGGAAAGAAAAGCAGCAGGUUAAUACCCCGCUGUUCUGACGGUACCAAAAGAAUAAGCACCGGCUAACUUCGUG